rnacentral:tRNA from 1 species
GGAAGGGUGGCAGAGCUCGGUUGAUUGCGACGCUCUUGAAAAGCGUUGAGGCUGCAAGGUCUCCGUGGGUUCGAAUCCCACCCCUUCCG